rnacentral:rRNA from 1 species
AACGAACGCUGGCGGCAUGCCUAACACAUGCAAGUCGAACGAGACCUUCGGGUCUAGUGGCGCACGGGUGCGUAACGCGUGGGAACCUGCCCUUAGGUUCGGAAUAACUCCCCGAAAGGGGUGCUAAUACCGGAUAAUGUCUUCGGACCAAAGAUUUAUCGCCUUUGGAUGGGCCCGCGUUGGAUUAGCUAGUUGGUAGGGUAAAAGCCUACCAAGGCGAGGAUCCAUAGCUGGUCUGAGAGAAUGAUCAGCCACACUGGGACUGAGACACGGCCCAGACUCCUACGGGAGGCAGCAGUGGGGAAUAUUGGACAAUGGGCGAAAGCCUGAUCCAGCAAUGCCGCGUAAAUGAUGAAGGCCUUAGAGUUGUAAAGCUCUUUUAACCGGGAUGAUAAUGACAGUACCGAAAGAAUAAGCGCCGGCUAACUCCGUG